rnacentral:sRNA from 1 species
GUCAGGUGUGGUGAUGCACACCUGUAAUCCCAGCUACUCAGGAGGCUGAGGCAGGAGGAUUGCAAAUUUGAGACCAACCUGGGCAACAUAACAAGACCUUUUUGUCUCAA